GUAUCCUGGUCAUUGGCCAGAGCCCUCUGGAGAGCAGAAGAGGCUGCAGCUUGCUGAAGAUGGAGGUGAAGGGUCAGGGUGGGAUUCGAGGAGAGGAACAAAAGCCAGGUAGCUCUUGUCAGCAUCCCCACUUCACAGGUGAAGAAACAAGUUCAGAGGAGUUGUGUGAUUGGCUCAACCCAGCCCGUGAAGAUCAUCCGGGCUAGAAACGAAGAGAGUCGGAGCCUAGACAUGACAUCUGCUCUCUGCACCAUCCAGAGCUCUGUGAUGCACAGGACACCCUGGCAUCCUGAUGGAGCUAGAACUCACGGACAUCACAGCGCCCCAGGACUCUCCUGGACUGUGCUUCUGGGCCAUGUACACCGAAGAGGCACUGAUUAGAGCUGAGUGCCAUUGCUCCUGCCCGAGAGUUUGGCUGUCAGGAUGCAGGUGAUGAGGCCGAAGUUGCUGCCUAUAUCAGGUUGUUUCCUUGGAGCUUGUCUCCUACUGGUCAUCUGCCUGCCUGUCUCUGUCAGCGGUAAGGUUGAAUGAAAAGAAGCACUGUGCAGAAAAAGAAGAGCUGUGGCGCAUUAGCUCACCGACAGUACCUCAAUCCCUCCCCAAAUAAAUCUCCAGCACUUUUUCUUUUUGUUAAUGUACUGAAGCAGGAGCCUGGAAUACUGUGGGGAAAUGGGUCAGAUUUAUCUCUGCCCUUUUAGAGCAGCCAUGGACUCUUCAUUUACUUACCCGAAGAUUUCCUUGUCACAAUCCAACCCCAAGAAAUUGAGUCAUAAAUUGAGAGGCCAUAUGUGAAAGGACUUUAAAAUCUCUGAAGUGCUAAAGAAAUAAAAAUUACUGCUGUCAUUUCUAUCUUCUUGGCUUUAUUGGAAGAGGGCUUUGCCUCUGCUCCCAGGAUUCCUGUUAAAGAUCUCCUCCUUGUUGGAUUCUUGCAUUAGACCCCCACCUUGAAAUAAAAUUCAUAUAGUAUUUGAGUUCCUACCAUGUUCAAAUAUAUAAUCUUAUCGAAUCUCUAAAACCUAC
rnacentral:lncRNA from 1 species